CUAAGAUUGGGGAUCUUAGUGGAAGUCCUCUGACCUGUAACCGUUAAUCACGUGUGAGCGAGGAAGUCGUAUAUGAAUAAGAUACGGGUUGACGACCCCACUCGUGGUUGAUUACAACCCAAGACAAUCGCUUGACGACUCGUUCCUUUUAUUUUUAUUCCGGCAUCGAUGAAGCCCGCGGUGUUUUUUUCUCAUGGUAAAUCAUGAGUGNNNNNNNNNNNNNNNNNNNNNNNNNNNNNNNNNNNNNNNNNNNNNNNNNNNNNNNNNNNNNNNNNNNNNNNNNNNNNNNNNNNNNNNNNNNNNNNNNNNNAAAUGUCCAAAGUUAAGGGGUCAAUGAAGUUAGGUCGUGGUAGCGAAAUUGUAAUAGGAACCAGGGAAUCUAUCUAGUACCCUUCGGUAGUAUCUCGUUAAAGAUAAAUUUCGGGACGAAACUUUAUCAACGGGGGGAGAAUGUUACACUAGUCAAAAUAGGUCAAUAGCAAUCACAUGUGAUUAUGCCAAUCAUGUAAUGUGAUUUUGUUAAACUACUAAUGUAGUAAACUCACUAUGUAUUUCAUGAUAAUUCUAAUAUAAAUAUGGACUUUCAUACAUACUUUAUUGUAUAAAUCAAAGUAUAUGUCGAUAUGCUUCCAAAAAUAUACAGAACGUCUAAAUCUAACUUCGCGUUAAGAAGUUAUGAUAAACCGAACACUAUUAACUCUCUAUAACAAGUGGAAUUUAAAAGAGGCUUAGAAUUAGAUAUUGUAAUUUAUUAGAGAGUUGUAGCACUCGAAAUUACCUACGCGUGCAUAUAAAGGACAUCAAAAAACGAGUUCGUAUGCAAAUGUUAUGGCCUUCCGAAGAUGUCGUUGUCAAAAAACCCUAAUUUGACUGAACUCACGAGAUGAGCAUAAAAACUCACGACGUGAGUAGCAAAUCGCCAUAUUGCGGAUCUAGAAGGUGUGACGAGGCUACGGGGGGAUAAGAUCCAAACUCACGACGUGAAUAAGGCAUUUUUCACGUUGUGAGGGCUCAUUUUGCCACCUUCGGAAGUUAGAAGAUGGAUGAACUGUCUAUGAAGAGAUAAGAUCCAAACUCACGACGUGAACAAUGAGUUUUUCACGUCGUGAGGGCCAAAAAUCUUACUAUAAAUAGCAAGAUCAACCCCAACCAUUCUUACACCUUAUCUCCUUUCUCCUCUCUCAUUUGCUGAAUCCCUCUUGCAUCCCGAGCCCCGACGACCUCGUACGCUGACUGUUUCUGCUUAGAUUACAUAAAAUCACGCUGCUACGGUGAGUUUCACGGCGCCACUUUCUAAUAUUUCUGGAGAAAACACAUGCUAGAUAUUAUAUAUAUGUUAUUUUUAUGUCUAUAUGAUAGUAUAUUAGUAUCAACGUAGAUAGUUAUAAUAACCGGGAUAUAGUUAUUUCGUAUAUGAAACUAUACAACUAUCGUAAAGUUGUUAGUAUGUUAUUGUUAUAGUAGUAUACUAAUAUAGAUCUUGAGCUAUACUUAGGAUUCUAUAAAUAUANGAUAUAGUUCCAGAGUUAUACUCGGAAGUCCUAUAUGUUAAUUGAUAAAUGUGUUGUUAUUAUUGGUUUUUUGUCAAGAUAAAACCAUGUUUGUUAUAUGUUGUUAUUGAUUAGUUUUAUGUUAAGAUAAAACUUAGUAUAGCUAUUGUUAGUUUUUUGUCAAGAUAAAACUAGGAACGUUAUAUGUUGUUAUUAUUGGUUUUAGUUCAAUAUAAAACCUGGUUUUACUUCAAGAUAUAGUUGUUAUACUGCCUAAAUGUUAUGAAGUUAGGAGUAAUGUUUAAAAGCAUAGUCUAGUGACUUAGGGUUUUAGACAUGAAAAUGCUUUUGUUGGUAGAGCUAUAGGAAGCCGUCAAAAUCGACAUGAGCUACCUCAUUCAUCAACUAAGAUUGGGGAUCUUAGUGGAAGUCCUCUGAUCUGUAACCGUUAAUCACGUGUGAGCGAGGAAGUCGUGUAUGAAUAAGAUACGGGUUGACGACCCCAGUCGUGGUUGAUUACAACCCAAGACAAUCGAUUGACGACUCAUUCCUUUUAUUUUUAUUCCGGCGUCGAUGAAGCCCGCGGUGUUUUUUUAUCAUGGUAAAUCAUGAGUGUAUUCUCAUGAUAAAUCAUGAGUGUAUUGUUUUGUCAGAGGUUUUGUUGUCAAGCAGCAGUUACAGACUCAUGGUAGCAACUUGUUAGAAACAUUAUACUUCGUCACUAUACAAGUAUUAAUGUUAAGUAUAACUUUCCCCUACUGAUACCCUAGGUAUGAGUUGUAUAUUAAGUAGAUAAUUAUACCUAGCACACAUACUCGUAUAGAAUUGAAAUAGAUUUAUACGUAGUGGUUUUACUCGUAUAGAACUGAAAUAAGAUUUAUAUGUAGCAACUUUCGUUUGUAUGGAAUUACAAACACUUAUAUUCAUAGUAGAUGAGACUUAUAGGUAUAUACUUAUUUGGUAAGUAAACUUUUAUACCUAGGAUAUAUAUAGUAAACGUUGGAGAGUCAAAAUUAUACUUUCAAAACUAUACUUUUGAAACUCGGAAUAUGUAUUAUUUUUAUAUGGAGUCAAAACCUGUGGACUCACCAACUUUAUGUUGACGUAUUUUAAAUGCAUGUAUUUUCAGGAAGUUGAUAAAUAUGAUACGAGAAAUGAUGUUACACUGCCCGGUGUUUCUGUCGACGGCCGAGGUGUGACAGAUUGGUAUUAUGACUAUUAAGUAUAGUGAAUUUGUACUUUCUUAGGAAAGCACGAUUAUAGUUUAGGGCUUACUCUGUUAGGUUUAGGUAUAUCCCUUAGCCUACAAUAAAAAGUAUUCUUAAUUAUUCUACUGAAUGACUACUUACGUGAGCGGUGACAGGAUAUACAUGUCACUUGGGUUGCUGGAUUUUAGAACGGCUAUAUGCUAAAAUGAUCCAGCCCUUCGACUGUCCUGACUGGCCAGUGCCUUAUCAGCUAGACCUGAGGUAACAAACAAUAAUUAAUAGAGAAUCAAUACAAUGAAUAAUAAAUAUAGAGUCAUAUAUGAAGAAUCAGACCCGCGAUGAGAAUACACCUAAAUACCUGGAAUUUUUUUGAUCUCAUGGAUUUAGAUCAGAUAGUCCAACUAAAGUUCAUAUGCGCAUAUAUCUUAUCACAACUAGAUGUAGGUCUACAACUAUAUUUAAUUUUGAUCAGAUCAUAUGAAUUAUUUACAUUGGGAGUAAUAUUUGAUUGACUAAACACUUGGUGAUCCAAAAUGUAUAGGAACUAAACAAAAUGCCUAAAAGAAGUAGCGCUCGUCUAAACCUGAACCAACGACCAGAACCAGAACAACAACAACCGCAACCACCACCACCAGAAACAAACCCUCCAAUAAGUUCAACAAAACUUGAAGAUAUCAUAGCCCAGAGAAUCGCUGCAGCUCUUGCUAAUGUCUCAAGAGGUGGAGUUAGAAACGAAGGAAAUGUAAGGACCGCUAGAAUGUAUACUUACAAGGAUUUUAUGAAUUGAAAACCUAAGAGCUUCCAUGGAACGAAAGGGGUCGUUAGCUUGACUCGGUGGAUUGAAAAGAAAGAAUCAAUAUUUCAAAUAAGCUUCUGUCCGAACGAAUGUAAGGUACGAUUUGCUGCGUGUACCUUCGCUGAUGUGACACUUUCAUGAUGGAACAACCAAGUGAAUACAAUGGGUAUUGAUGAUGCCAAUUCCAUGCAAUGGGAAAAGCUGAAGAGGAUGCUAGUAGAGGAGUAUUGUUCCUGGGAGGAAAUACAUAACUUGGAAUAAGAACUGUAGACCCUAACCAUGAAGGGUUCAGAGAUAAAUGCUUAUACUACUAGAUUUAAUGACCUUGCGGUGAUGUGUCCAGCACUAGUAACCCAGAGUAUAAGAAGACCGAGCAAUAUAUCUGGGGUCUAGCAUCGCAAAUCAAAGGAAUGGUGAUUGCAUCGAAGCCUACAACAUAUGACAGUGCAAAGCGUAUAGCUCAUCAGGUAACCAGCAUAGAAAUCCAAGUGAGAUUUAUAGCCGAGUCUCCCAAAUCUGGAACGAACAAGCACAAAUUUAAUGGGAAUAAUCCCAUACAAUUAUUUGAGGAGAGACAAGAGGUGGCAACUAAUUAUGCAGCCACAACAACAAUACCCCUACAACCAAGGAAGUAUGCUGGAAAACUCCCAAUGUGCACUCAGUGCAAUCGUCAUCACAUAGGUAACUGUCCAUGGUGCAGUCAAUGCAACCAUCAGCACGCAGGUGAUUGUUAUAUUUGCGUGAAGUGCAAAAAUAAGGGACACACUGCCAGUUACUGUAGGAGCACAACACCUACAACAGAAAAUCAAGGAACAAACAUUGGAAUAGGCUAUGAUGGAGGAAGAGCAUGUUUUGAGUGUGGUGAAAUUGGACAUAUCAAGAAGGAAUGUCCAAAGUUAAGGGGUCAAUGAAGUUAGGUCGUGGUAGCGCAAUUGUAAUAGGAAGGAGGGAAUCUAUCUAGUAUCCUUCCGUGGUAUCUAGUUAAAGAUAAAUUUUGGGACGAAAUUUUAUCGACGGUGGGAGAAUGUAACACUAGUCAAAAUAUGUCAAUAGCAAUCACAUGUGAUUAUGCCAAUCAUGGAAUGUGAUUUUGUUAAACUACUAAUGUAGUAAACUCACUAUGUAUUUCAUGAUAAUUCUAAUAUAAAUAUGGACUUUCAUACAUACUUUAUAGUAUAAAUCAAAGUAUAUCUCCAUAUGCUUCCAAAAAUAUAGAGAACGUCUAAAUCUAACUUCGCGUUAAGAAGUUAUGAUAAACCGAACACUAUUAAAUCUCUAUAACAAGAGGAAUUUAAAAGAGGCUUAGAAUUAGAUAUUGUAAUCUAUUAGAGAGUUGUAGCACUCGAAAUUACCUACGCGUGCAUAUAAAGGACAUCAAAAAAGGAGUUCGUAUGCAAAUGUUAUGGCCUUUCGAAGAUGUCGUUGUCAAAAAACCCUAAUUUGACUGAACUCACGAGGUGAGCAUAAAAACUCAUGACGUGAGUAGCCAAAUCGCCAUAUUUCGGAUCUAGAAGGUGUGACGAGGCUACGGGGGGAUAAGAUCCAAACUCACGACGUGAAUAAGGCAUUUUUCACAUCGUGAGGGCUCAUUUUGCCACCUUCGGAAGUUAGAAGAAGGAUGACAAGUCUAUGAAGAGAUAAGAUCCAAACUCACGACGUGAACAAUGAGUUUUUCACGUCGUGAGGGCCAAAAAUCUUACUAUAAAUAGAAAGAUCAACCCCAACCAUUCUUACACCUUAUCUCCUUUCUCCUCUCUCAUUUGCUGAAUCCCUCUUGCAUCCCGAGCCCCGACGACCUCGUACGCUGACUGUUUCUGCUUAGAUUACAAAAAAUCACGCUGCUACGGUGAGUUUCACGGCCCCACUUUCUAAUAUUUCUGGAGAAAACACAUGCUAGAUAUUAUAUAUAUGUUAUUUUUAUGUCUAUAUGAUAGUAUAUUAGUAUCAACGUAGAUAGUUAUAAUAACCGGGAUAUAGUUAUUUCGUAUAUGAAACUAUACAACUAUCGUAAAGUUGUUAGUAUGUUAUUGUUAUAGUAGUAUACUAAUAUAGAUCUUGAGCUAUACUUAGGAUUCUAUAAAUAUANCUUAGGAUUCUAUAUAUAUUAUGUGUGCGAUAUAGUUCCAGAGUUAUACUCGGAAGUCCUAUAUGUUAAUUGAUAAAUAUGUUGUUAUUAUUGGUUUUAUGUCAAGAUAAAACCAUGUUUGUUAUAUGUUGUUAUUGAUUUGUUUUAUGUAAAGAUAAAACUUAGUAUAGAUAUUGAUAGUUUUAUGUCAAGAAAAAACUAGGAACGUUAUAUGUUGUUAUUAUUGGUUUUAGGUCAAUAUAAAACCUGGUUUUACUUCAAGAUAUAGCUGUUAUACUGCCUAAAUGUUAUGAAGUUAGGAGUAAUGUUUAAAAGCAUAGUCUAGUGACUUAGGGUUUUAGACAUGAAAAUGAUUUUGUUGUUAGAGCUAUAGGAAGCCGUCAAAAUCGACAUGAGCUACCUCAUUCAUCAACUAAGAUUGGGGAUCUUAGUGGAAGUCCUCUGACUUGUAACCGUUAAUCCCGUGUGAGCGAGGAAGUCGUGUAUGAAUAAGAUACGGGUUGACGACCCCACUCGUGGCUGAUUACAACCCAAGACAAUCGAUUGACGACUCGUUCCUUUUAUUUUUAUUCCGGCGUCGAUGAAGCCCGCAGUGUUUUUUUUCUCAUGGUAAAUCAUGAGUGUAUUGUUUCUCAUGAUAAAUCAUGAGUGUAUUGUUUUGUUAGAGGUUUUGUUGUCAAGCAACGGUUACAGACCCAUGGUAGCAACUUGUUAGAAUCAUUAUACUUCGUCGCUAUACAAGUAUUAAUGUUAAGUAUAACUUUCCCCUACUUAUACCCUAGGUAUUAAUUGUAUAUUAAGUAGAUAAUUAUACCUAGCACACGUACUCGUAUAGAAUUGAAAUAGAUUUAUACGUAGUGGUUUUACUCGUGUAGAACUGAAAUAAGAUUUAUAUGUAGCAACUUUCGUUUGUAUGGAAUUACAAACACUUAUAUUCAUAGUAUAUGAGACUUAUAGGUAUAUAGAGGUGGAGUUAGAAACGAAGGCAAUGUAAGGACCGCCACAAUGUGUACCUACAAGAAUUUUAUGAAUUGCAAACCUAAGAGCUUCCAUGGAAUGAAAGGGGUUGUUAGCUUGACUCAGUUGAUUGAAAAGACAGAAUCAAUAUUUCAAAUAAGCUUCUGUCCGAACGAAUGUAAGGUACGAUUUGUCGCGUGUACCUUCGCUGAUGCAAGACUUACAUGAUGGAACAACCAAGUGAAUACAAUGGGUAUUGAUGAUGUUAAUUCCAUGCAAUGGGAAGAGCUGAAGAGGAUGCUAGUAGAGGAGUAUUGUCCCAAGGAGGAAAUACAUAACUUGGAAUAUGAACUGUAGACCCUAACCAUGAAGGGUUCAAAGAUAAAUGCUUAUACUGCUAGAUUUAAUGAUCUUGCGGUGAUGUGUCCAGCUCUAGUAACCCCAGAGUAUAAGAAGAUCGAGCGAUAUAUCUGGGGUCUAGCAUUGCAAAUCAAAGGAAUGGUGAUCGCAUCGAAGCCUACAACAUAUGACAGUGCAAAGCAUAUUGCUCAUCAACUAACCAGCAUAGAAAUCCAAGUGGGAUUUAUAGCCGAGUCUCCCGAAUCUGGAACGAACAAGCGCAAAUUUAGUGGGAAGAAUCCCAUACAAUCAUUUGAGGAGAGACACGAGGUGGCAACUAAUUAUUCAGCCACAAAAACAAUACCCCCACAACCAAGGAAGUAUGCAGGAAAACUCCCCAUGUGCACUCAGUGCAAUCGUCAUCACAUAGGUAACUGUUCAUGGUGCAGUCAACUUAUCCGUCAACACGCAGGUGACUGUUAUAUUUGCAUGAAGUGCAAAAAGAAGGGACACACUGCCAGUUACUGUAGGAGCACAACACCUACAACAGAAAAUCAAGGAACAAACAUUGGAAUAGGCUAUGAUGGAGGAAGAGCAUGUUUUGAGUGUGGUGAAAUUGGACAUAUCAAGAAGGAAUGUCCAAAGUUAAGUGGUCAAUGAAGUUAGGUCGUGGUAGAGCAAUUGUAAUAGGAAGCAGGGAAUCUAUCUAGUACCCUUCAGUGGUAUCUAGUUAAAGAUAAAUUUCAAGACGAAAUUUUAUCAACGGGGGGAGAAUGUAACACUAGUCAAAAUAGGUGAAUAGCAAUCACAUGUGAUUAUACCAAUCAUGUAAUGUGAUUUUGUUAAACUAGUAAUGUAGUAAACUCACUAUGUAUUUCAUGAUAAUUCUAAUAUAAAUAUGAACUUUCAUACAUACUUUAUAGUAUAAAUCAAAGUAUAUGUCCAUACAAUUCCAAAAAUAUAGAGAACGUCUAAAUCUGACUUCGCGUGAAGAAGUUAUGAUAAACUGAAGACUAUUAAAUCUCUAUAAUAAUAGGAAUUUAAAAUAGGCUUAGAAUUAUCUAUUGUAAUAUAUUAGAGAGUUGUAGUACUCAGAAUUACCUACGUGUGCAUAUAAAGAACGUCAAAAACGGAGUUCGUAUGCAAACGUUAUGGCCUUCCGAAGAUGUCGCUCUCAGAAAACCCUAAUUUGACUGAACUCACAAGGUGAGCAUAAAAACACAUGACGUCAGUAGUCAAACUGCCAUAUUGCGGAUCUAGAAGGUGUGACGAGGCUACGGGGGGAUAAGAUCCAAACUCAAGAAAUGAACAAGGCAUUUUUCACGUCAUGAGGGCUCAUUUUGCCACCUUCGGAAGCUAGAAGACGGAUGACAAGUCUACGAAGAGAUAAGAUCCAAACUCACGACGUGAACAAUGAGUUUUUCACGUCGUGAGGGCCAAAAAUUUUACAAUAAAUAGCAAGAUCGACCCCAACCAUUCUUACACCUUAUCUCCUUUCUCCUCUCUCAUUUGUUGAAGUCCUCUUGCACCCCAAGCCCCGACGACCUCGUACGCUGACUGUUUCUGCUUAGAUUACAUAAAAUCACGCUGCUACGGUGAGUUUCACGGCCCCAGUUUCUAAUAUUUUGGGGGAUAACACAUGCUAGAUAUUAUAUAUAUGUUAUUAUUAUGUCUAUAUGAUAGUAUAUUAGUAUCAACGUAGAUAGUUAUAAUAACCGGGAUAUAGUUAUUUCGUAUAUGAAACUAUACAACUAUCGUAAAGUUGUUAGUAUGUUAUUGUUAUAGUAGUAUACUAAUGUAGAUCUUGAGUUACACUUAGGAUUCUAUAUAUAUUAUGUGUGCGAUAUAGUUCCAGAGUUAUACUCGGAAGUCCUAUAUGUUAAUUGAUAAAUAUGUUGUUAUUAUUGGUUUUAUGUCAAGAUAAAACCAUGUUUGUUAUAUGUUGUUAUUGAUUAGUUUUAUGUUAAGAUAAAACUUAGUAUAGCUAUUGAUAGUUUUAUGUCAAGAUAAAACAAGGAACGUUAUAUGUUGUUAUUAUUGGUUUUAGGUCAAUAAAAAACCUGAUUUUACUUCAAGAUAUAGUUGUUAUACUGCCUAAAUGUUAUGAAGUUAGGAGUAAAGCUUAAAAGCAUAGUCUAGUGACUUAGGGUUUUAGACAUGAAAAUGAUUUUGUUGUUAGAGCUAUAGGAAGCCAUUAAAGUCGACAUGAGCUACCUCAUUCAUCAAUUAAGAUUGGGGAUCUUAGUGGAAGUCCUCUGACUUGUAACCGUUAAUCCCGUGUGAGCGAGGAAGUCGUGUAUGAAUAAGAUACGGGUUGGCGACCCCACUCGUGGUUGAUUACAACCCAAGACAAGCGAGUGAUGAUUCGUUCCUUUUAUUUUUAUUCCGGCGUCGAUGAAGCGCGCGGUGUUUGUUUCUCAUGGUAAAUCAUGAGUGUAUUGUUUCUCAUGAUAAAUCAUGAGUGUAUUGUUUUGUCAGAGGUUUUGUUGUCAAGCA
rnacentral:lncRNA from 1 species